rnacentral:lncRNA from 1 species
GUCAAAUUAUUUAUUUCAUAUCUUGGAUUUGGUUUAAUUGCCUUCUUUCCCUAUCUCUCACCAAUUGAUAAUCUUGAGCACUUGUUUCAAUAGUGGGAACAUUUGGAUUUUCAAUUUCAGUUUUGACUUCACUCGGACCUACCUUACCUUCAUCCGUGUCAACAACAUUUUCAUCAGAUUGUUGAACACCCUCAUCAAUAUUUUCAUGUUGAGUGGGAUUUAGCCUUGUUAGCUUCACCUCAUUCCGUGAAGUAGUCUCGUUGAUUUGCUCUUUCGAAUUAUCAAUUUUGUUCUUUAGGCAUGGCAUUUCGAAUUCAUUGAAAACCACAUUUCUACUAUUAAUGAUUUUAAUGCCUUGAACGCCUAACAUCCACAAUCGGUACCCCUUUACACCUUCCGGGUACCCAAGCAUCACACACUUAGUAGCUCUAGGGUCCAAUUUUCCUUCAACUUGAUGUGCAUAUGCUGCACAUCCAUACACCCUAAUAUGAGAAAGGUUUGGGGGUCUUCCCGUCCAAAGUUCCUGUGGAGUUUUAAAUCCAAUAGAACUACAUGGAGAUCAAUUUAUAAGAUAAGCAGCUGUAGAUAUAGCCUCCGCCCAAAAACCUUUCGCUAAUCCAGAACUGAUUAGCAUACAUCUUACUUUGUUCAUUAGAGUUCUAUUCAUUCUUUCCG